rnacentral:rRNA from 1 species
UGGGGGAUAUUGCACAAUGGGCGAAAGCCUGAUGCAGCGACGCCGCGUGGGGGAUGAAGGCUUUCGGGUUGUAAACCUCUUUCGCUAUCGAACAAGGCCCGCUUAGGGUGGGUUGAGGGUAGGUGGAGAAGAAGCGCCGGCUAACUACGUGCCAGCAGCCGCGGUAAUACGUAGGGCGCGAGCGUUGUCCGGGAUUAUUGGGCGUAAAGGGCUUGUAGGCGGCUUGUUGCGCCUGCUGUGAAAACGCGGGGCUUAACUUCGCGCGUGCAGUGGGUACGGACAGUCUUGAGUGUGGUAGGGGUGACUGGAAUUCCAGGUGUAGCGGUGGAAUGCGCAGAUAUCUGGAGGAACACCGAUGGCGAAGGCAGGUCACUGGGCCAUUACUGACGCUGAGGAGCGAAAGCAUGGGUAGCGAACAGG